GUUAUUAGUUGCUUGCUGGACCUGGAGAGGAAGGGAUCUCUCAUUAGGAGAAAUGGAUCUCUUUCAGACAGGUGGCAGUAAAGCGAUUAAUAUCAACUGACAGAGAAUUAAGACAUGAAGGAAGACGUUUGGUAAGUUCAGUAAAAGCUCUUUCCAGUCCAUGAUAGGUUUCUUACUAAACUAUGAGGUCACCUUUUGCAGCAAACAAUGUGUUCUUUUUAAGCUAGAGAACAAAAUUUUCCAUUGUGAGAUCAUAAAAAUGAUAUCACUACUGCUGUUCAGGUAACUUGGCCAUAUACAAUCCCAUCUUAAAAAGCAGCAGAUGCUUUUUAAGCCAUGAAAAAAGCUUCACGUCCCUUCUUUUCAUUGAAAGAUCAACAUCAUUCAAAGUGAAUGAUGUUCACUAAACAUCUGAGGAGGUCCUCGACUGGUCCCUCCUACCCCAACAAAAUGCAUCAUUUUUGUAGCUAAUUCUCUGCAGAAUGCUUCCAUAGCUUAUCUUUCCCCAUUUUUUUUCUCUUUAUCCUUUCAUUUCGAGAUUAAAAGGCUUGAUUGAUGUUCAUAUUCUGUGCAUCUUUAUCACAACAAUCACGGUUCCCUUCACAAAGCAUCCUCCAAUCUCUUCAAUCCUCUCCUAGCUAGUUGCUUUAGGACAGGUUCAAUUGUGGGGUUUCAUUUUUAUAUUAAUAACAUCGUGACAGAACAUGUCAGACAGAAAUAGAAAUUAAACAGAGAGUUUCUACAAGGUUCUGAUGGCGAUUUGGAGGACAAUGACAGGUAUUGUGUAAUGCACAACAAGAGAAAGAAGAUAAAACCAGGCCUGUUUGCUCUCUUCUUACAUUAGAACAAAGGCUUUGUCCUCCACACAAAGUUUAUGUAGUAAAGAGGACAUCUUGGGACGGUUGAAAAGUCACUGUGCUCUAAAAGUGAUUAUAAAUGUUGCAGAAAUUUUUUUGUAUUUUCUGUUAGCAGGAGAGAACUUGUACCUGGAUCCCAGUACAUGGUAAUUUCAAGUGUACAGCAAUGUCAUUUUCCAGACAGUUGAAAAAUUGUGGUAAGAAAACAACUAUUCAAAUAGAGCAUUGAGUACUAUUUAUCCUAUCUGGUUAUUCAGUGUUUGCUUGGAUACCAAAAACCUUAUCUGCAUUUCGAUUGAUUCCCAUUCAUUGGCUGUUCUAAUAUCCAUCUAUCCUAUUCUAUGCCUAUGGAGACACCAUUUCAGCUUGUAUUAUUACAUUCAUGUGGGUUUAUCUGCAAAUGGGAAUGCCAAGAAGAGGUCCCUUUCCCCACCCUUUUCCUCAUUUAAGCUGUUUCUUUGGAGAGAUCUCUAGAAUUCUCUGUUCUGCUAAGAUAUUGGGGUUUUCAAGCUUCAAUUUUUAUUUUUUUAUUUUUUUUAUUUUUUUUUAAAUUUAUUUUCUAUCAGGAAACAACAAAGGACAGGGAAAAUGCUGGGAGGUGUGUCAGCUUUUCAUUCACUCAAUUUACUCAUCCUUAGAUUCCUCUAUAUCUUUCCACAUGUUGAGUUGUUUUGUAUGCCAAAAA